GGACAGGAGCAGGAGCUAGUGACUGAGCUUGAGUGCCAAAGAAGGCCAUCAAAAUGUCGUUUCCGGAAGUAGGAGGGGUGGGGAGUUGGGGUUGGGGAUGAUAAGGAAUGGGUCCAGUAGGAUUAGGAUGAGGAUGCAAAGGGUGUUGGGGUUGAGGAGGAGGAGGGUAAGGAAGGUAGUGGUGGAAAGGGUAAGGCCCAGUAGGCGGAGGGUAAGAGGAAGAAGGCGUCAAAUAGGGCGGUGGAGGCGGCGUUGAGGAUUGGGCUGGGAAAGAUGGGGAUGUAGUAAGGUUUGAAGUGUUAGGACUUGGAGUUGGACUUGGAGAAGUUGCUGUCACGUUCACGUUCUGAAGAUGCUGAUGCUGCAACAUAGGGCUAGAACUGGGUUUAAACAGCUUGUUCAAAUCAAACCCACCGCUGCCACCACCGC
rnacentral:lncRNA from 1 species